CGGAUUUGACUUUAAAAAAAAACAGGUCGGAAGAUAGUUAAGAAAAAAACACACUGAGUAUAUUUAAAAUCGAUGUUUUUAUCUUCUAAACAUUUAACUUCUACUCGGAAAAACGUGGCUAAUCUCCACAUUUAUCAUCACAACCAGCGUUUCCAAUUUGUAAAAAUCCCAAGUAAGCUCCCAAACUAUCCCGGUAUUACCACUUUUUUUACGUCAUUAUAAUUUAGGUGGUUUUCGCGCCAAUUUCGGGUGGGAUAGCCUCGUACGUCAUGUUGUAAAAAUGAAAUCUGACAUCAACAGUAUGCAGCUCAAUAGGCGAUACUUUUUUAUUGGUUUACGGAUUUUACUUGAAAAAACCCAGGUCGGUAACUAUAUUUUACAAUAUAAAUAAGAAAUUUACUAUAUACUCUAAAUAUAUUAAGAAAAGUAUUAUCUAAAUAGUUAGUAUAAUCAGUGUAUCUUACGUUGGUAACCUUGACCAUCUACAACCUAAUUGAACACAGUACUAUUUUUAUUUCAACUUUGUCCCCAGGGCAUUUUGCAUGCCUUCACAGCUGAAGCACAGAAUACAGAUCAGCUGAAGGUCGGCAAAAAUGGCCCUGGGAUCAGCUGGUCACAUGACACCCAGAAUAUCUGGGUGUUUUGAUACGAUGAUUUAUGUGAAUUAAAUCUUUGUUGAUUAAAAUAAGUAAUGAACAUGCAAUUUGCCAAGUUGUUCAUCUAAAGAUUUUAUUUUAAGAGCAAUAUGCUUGCAUAAUUCUUCCUAUAUCAUGCAUGAAUCUGACAAACACAUAGCACAGCAUGAAGUAUAGGACGUAACUGAAUCUUCAUUAUACUCUCGGUAUUUUCUUAAGUUUGCCGUAUAAUUUGAAGACAAAACAAUUUUGAAGCACUGGAUUUGUUUGAAUAAAUUAUACUACAAGAUAACUUAUGCGUUUUUAAACAGACCAUUGGGAUUGUGCAAAUGAUCAGCCGAUCCCAAGGUUAUUUUCGCCAAACUUCAGCCGUGGAGGCAAAAUGCCCUGGGGGACGAGGUUAUUUUUAUUUGUAUUUUUAUUUUGCUUCUCAAAACGUACCCGAAAUCGGGUACGUUUUAUAGAAAUGUACACACAAGAUUCGUUAUUAUUUAAUUAGCCAUGUUUUAUCUAAUAAAUAUAGGAGGCACAAUUCUCAAUAUUCUUUCGCCAAUUUGGGUUUCAUUUGUGUAAUAAUUACAGAAUUUUAAGGGAAUUCAGUAGAAAAAAUUCCGAAAAGUUCAAGCUUUCGACGGAGCAAAGCACAUAAUUUAAAAGCUGGAUGAUGUCACUCAAUAGCUUUCAAAUGAUGCAUUUUGCUUCAGAAAAGGCACAGGUAUACUUGUGGAGACAUCGAUUUAUGACGAAGGGACCGAACAGGCUAAAAACAUGCGAUUGAAGAUCGAAGACAAAAUUUUGGAAUUAAUCGCACUCUUUUGGAACAAACGAGUUUGCAAGGAACACCAUUAGAAAAUACCAGACCAGUACAAUAGACACUUCCCGAAUGCGCUUGAAUGCACAAGAAAAUGUUGCUUUACAUGUGUGAACUUUACAGUAGAUGUGAACAUUUUGUAGUGUGUCUAUUGGUAUGAACAUUUUGUACUUUUUAUCUUGUCUGUCUUUUACCACGAUAUGUUCAAAAUAAACCAAUUGUCGUUUUUCUCUUGUGAGCUCGCACUAAAAUUAUGUCUUUGAGUAAGGUGACCAAAUCUUGUUUAAUCU